rnacentral:sRNA from 1 species
UGGGCUGGUUGCAAGACCCGGGUCCACCUGUGGCGGGUGAGUUAC